GAUGAACGCUGGCGGCAUGCCUAAUACAUGCAAGUCGAGCGAACAGAUGAAGUGCUUGCACUUCUGACGUUAGCGGCGAACGGGUGAGUAACACGUAAGGAAUCUACCUAUAAGCGGGGGAUAACAUUCGGAAACGGGUGCUAAUACCGCAUAAUAUCUUCUUCCGCAUGGAAGAAGAUUGAAAGACGGCUCUGCUGUCACUUACAGAUGACCUUGCGGUGCAUUAGUUAGUUGGUGGGGUAACGGCCUACCAAGACGAUGAUGCAUAGCCGACCUGAGAGGGUGAUCGGCCACAUUGGGACUGAGACACGGCCCAAACUCCUACGGGAGGCAGCAGUAGGGAAUCUUCCGCAAUGGGCGAAAGCCUGACGGAGCAAUGCCGCGUGAGUGAAGAAGGCCUUCGGGUCGUAAAACUCUGUUAUAAGAGAAGAACAAAUUGUAGAGUAACUGCUACAGUCUUGACGGUAUCUUAUCAGAAAGCCACGGCUAACUACGUGCCAGCAGCCGCGGUAA
rnacentral:rRNA from 1 species